rnacentral:lncRNA from 1 species
UCAAUAACACAAAAACAAAUUGUUUCAUUUUUUUUCCCACAGGAGCAAUAUGCAUGAAGCUAACUGACGGUGGGAUCAAAUUGCUUCUUUCAGCUUGUUCCUUUCACCUUACCGCGACCAUCCACUACGCACAAACAACAGCAAAACCACACCAUAACACUCCAGUGCUAUCAGACCGAGGUAUGUGAUUACAUGCAGAAAGUGUUUUUGUGUGUUUCCUGUCAAACUGGGGAAUAAUACGAGGAGCAGGCAGACUGAUGCAAGCUCAGGUCACCAAAUCAGGCUAUUUUUAAAGCCCAGCAGACUUUACAUAAGCGUUAUUCAUCAAGCAGCUUUUACAGAUAUGACUUCAGUGGCCCAGUAAGGAUUGGCUGGACACAACACCCACAUCAAAACAUCUGCUCUUCUCUGUGAGAGGGACUAAAGAGAAAUGCUUUCCCAUGAAGGGCAGUGCAUUUGAAAGCCUCGUGCCAUGGAACGCGUUGCCUUUCGAGGUCCCAUACAUCUAUCGAUCCUGCAUGGCUGAUGGAGAUGUCAAGAAAAGAGGGGGCAGACCUAAAGGACGAGUCAAAGAGACGAUGGUGGUGGAGAUACUACCAAUAUCAGUGGUGCCACAACAUCUGAUCCAGCCAGUGCAAGGAUCCUAAAAGACCUGGACGUACCCAGUGCAUGUGCCUAGCUAAUGGGGCUCAACUCCACUCUCCGCACUGGAUGGUCUGAACUUAAAGCCAGUCCGAAGGUAAUGUUUCUAAAAAAUAAACUGAUUUUCUAAAACAUUUCAACAAUUUGGCUGUCCUCAAAUCUAACAGGAAAUGUUGCUCUGUUUAUGUUUGUAAUUUUUGUUGUGCAACACACAGCAGCUGUACUGUAUUCAGCUGGCAGUUCAUGAGGUACACCUAGUCCCUCUACAAUCAUUUUGGGGGCUGUUUUUUGUGAUGUUUAACUGUACUGUGUGCUGCUGAGAUAGUUCGACUCCCCUUACUGAAAUAAAUGGCGAAGACUAAAUAAGAACAAUCUGUACAAUGUCCAAAUGCAUUGCAAUACAUUUGAAUCUGUCCAAGAAAGAUUUAUUGCAAGACUAGUUUUAGUCAGGUGGACCAAAA